GCCCCUGUGGCCAAGCUGGUUAAGGCAGCGGACUUUUAAUCCGACGAUCGUGGGUUCGAUUCCCACCGGGGGCA
rnacentral:tRNA from 1 species